rnacentral:lncRNA from 1 species
UUUGCCUUGCACACCAUUCUUCUCGAGAGCAUCAUUGUCUUUAUAAUUUUAGUGUCUAAUUCCUGAUUUGUUACUUUUGCCAUCAAUGUCACAAUUUUCUCCCAGAAUGUUUGUUGUCUAUCAUCAUGUUCAGUUGUUUGUUGGGUUCCCUCAUUAUGGACCGUGCCUUCUUGAUUUUGUUGCUUGUUUGAUUCGGAAACAUCAUUGGCUUUUUCUUUGUUUUUUUUGUCUUAGUCACUGUUUAUUGUUGCAGAGUUUGAAAGUUUUUCUUCUACCUCUUUGAUUCUUUGAUGCAUCUUCAUUCUUUUCUUUAACUUCCUUUUUUUUUUUGUCUUUGUUGUGGUUGUUUUUGUGCCCCUUUUUUUGUGUGCUUUGCGUUGGUUCUACAAAAUGUCUUCUUCGGUAACGUUUCCAAUUUAUAGAUAAAUGGUUUCUUUCUUUGUACGUGAUAUCUUUUUUGUUUUUCCAACCAUUUUCUUUUGUUGCGUCAUUUUGGUGGUGGUUGAUAUGAUUGGUUUUGGUUGAGCUUGACAUUUGGAGUUUUACGUUAACUAAGACCUUCUGUAAAAACAGUGAUUUUUAAAUGCAAGCUUCAUGACCAAUAAAAAAUAAAUACGAGGACACACUAUUUUGUAUAAAUAUCAAUUACUUUUAUAACUAGACUAAACUUUAUAUUUUCUUAUAGAUGAACAUAGUGCAAAUAGAAGAGUACAAAAGGACAGCUGUUAAAUAACUAUUUCUUAAAUUGAAGCUAAAUUGCAAACUAUUUAUGAAAGUGAAGAUAUUUUUUCAAACUAUUUUUGAAACUAAAGAUAUUGUUGAAGGAAUAUUUUGUGAAAACAUGUUCAUUUAAGCAACAUCAAUAAGCAUGCAAUUAACAAUUAA